rnacentral:rRNA from 1 species
CCUACGGGUGGCAGCAGUGAGGAAUAUUGGUCAAUGGACGCAAGCCUGAACCAGCCAAGCAGCGUGAAGGAUGACUGCUCUACGAGUUGUAAACUUCUUUUGUACGGGAAUAAAGUGAGGUACGUGUGUCUUUCUGUAUGUAUCUUAUGAAUCAGGAUCGGCUAACUCCGUGCCAGCAGCCGCGGUAAUACGGAGGAUUCGAGCGUUAUCCGGAUUUAUUGGGUUUAAAGGGUGCGUAGACGGGUGGUUAAGUCAGUUGUGAAAGCUUGAGGCUCAACCGCGGAAUUGCAUUUGAUACUGGCAGGCUAGAGUAUAGUUGAGGUAGGCGGAAUGCGUGGUGUAGCGGUGAAAUGCUUAGAGAUCAUGAAGAACACCGAUUGCGAAGGCAGCUUACUAAGCGACUACUGACGUUGAGGCUCGAAAGCGUGGGGAGCAAACAGGAUUAGAUACCCUUGUAGUC